rnacentral:misc_RNA from 1 species
ACGACAAUGGCGCGAAGACAGCAAGGGAGAGAAUCUUGACGAUGGUAAUGAGAGCGAUAUGUUGAGAAUGGAUUUGAGAUACAUGACUGAUACUCGUGGAGAAAAAAAUCUCUUACCAAAGUGAACCAGACCCCUAACAUGUACGAACUACAACUGCAAGCUUCACAUUUGAUACGCCAUACAUGUAGUUCACCUCGACCACAACUGACAGGCCGAGACUUUUGAAACAUAAAAAGGGUCACAAAGACAUGGAAAAUGUCCAAUAUAAAUACACCAGAUCAAGGUCUCUUUCCAUCACCAACCAGCCAUGAUUCUCCUGUUUCAUUCCCUCGCUUCGCUUGCUCUGGCUCAGACACAACUUAAUGCCCCCUUCACAUCACUGGCUGUGGGCUUCAAGGGCGCUGGUAAUCUGCGUCAAACCUAUGAGGAUAUUAUUGAGGUAAAGCUAGGGUUUGAACUUGAUGCUACCACCACUGAAACAAUCCCACCCGGAGACUUCUUUGACAUGGUCAUUGACGGGAUGGUGAUGACGAGCCCCUACAGCUUUGAAGUUCUGGACUCUCUUGGAGCCCCAGUAUUUGUGGUUUCCAAUUUCGAAGGUAACUCCUUCAGAGCUGCAGCUACGGACUACUUCCUUGAGAAUGCCCCCCAAUCAAUUGAGGGAGAGAGAUGUGUUUGACGUCAUUUCUGCCAUGUCUGAAGGGGAGGUCUCUGUUUCAAUUGGGGACCUUACUGACUCACUUUCCAUCGUGGAAUUUGAUUUGACAGAACCAGAUGUGAGCAAUUACGCACCUUUCAUAAAACCCCGCUACCUUCAGGUUUGCUUCUCCCAUUGUCGAAGGAUCUUCUCACGAGUUUUGUUGUCACCGUCGAUGACAAUGUGAACAUUGUGGAGCCUAACGGCUUCGUCAGCCUCAACAAAUACAUUGAAUAUGGGGACGACGAUAUUAUCUAAAGGACGAUUGAACCUAGUCUUCUCGAAGACCUUGUUUUCACUUCUGAUCCGGUGUCUUUUACCCUUGUCAACAAUGUUCAAGACGAGCGGGUAGUGGCAGUUGCUUUCUCGGUUGAGGUUGAUGUAAUCAUGGAAAACUAGAUCAACUGUGGCCCCCUUGUACGUGACGGCGAGGAGCUCGCCAACUACUGUGUUGCGCCCGCCACUGGUGGUGAAUGGAAUCUAGGAGGUUCAGGAUCUGUUCAGGUGGUGGAACAGGAGGAGGAAUCUCCAGCUACCUCUGAAACUUCUUCGGCUGAAGAGUCUGCCACUACGUCGGCCGAAGUUGCGGCUACUUCGGAUGAGGAGUCUGCCACUACGUCGGCCGAGGUUGCGGCUACUUCUUCAGACAUAAGUCUACUCAUACUUCGGCUGCUACUUCAGAUGAAGUGUCUGCUACCGUGUGGAGGAGCUGCCUCUGCCACGAGUUCUAUCCUUGAGUCUGCCUCCAAUGACGGUUCUGCUACCACUAGAGAAGCCUCUGAUUCUGGUUCAAUCACUGAAGAUGCAUCUCCCGUAACAGCUUUCGGUUCGAGUCACUGGUUUGAUUUCUUCAAUUUUGGGAGAUGCUGGCUCUUCUACCAGAGUCGACGGUUCCGCUAUUGACGCUUCAGUUUCCGCCUCCCCUGCCUCUUCUGUCUCUUCUGCCACUGCCAGCACCCCUUCUUCAGGCUCUGGAACUUUUCCCACCUCUGUCUUUAUGACGAAUGUCACUGAGAUUGUAUCCACCACCUACUGCAAGCAAGGUAUUUGUGGCCACACUGUUGUAAUUUGGACUACAAAAGUUCCCGUUAUCCACACAGUCACCACCUGCCCUACUGUCAUUGAGGGUAAGACUCUGGCAGUGGUUGUUCCUUGUGCGGUGUGACCCAAACCAAGUCCAAACCCACUCAGGCUCUUUCCAGAAAGCCCGUUGAUACCGGAUCUGAUAGUGUCAUUACUGCUUCUUCGACUACAACUUCUGCAGCUUUGUCCACCAACACAGAUAUUCCCGAGCCCCGACCCACCAACUCGGUCGAGAUUCUUCUCACAACCCAGACUCUUGUUGAAAGCGGAGCAACCACCACCUUUACUGGCACCAUUGUUCUGACCAGAACUAUCGACACUUCCUCCACUCCUCAAGCCAAAGUUCCUCAGAUUGACUCCGUCCCCACCACUGUCGCUCAGGCCAACACUGGAUCCAAGUUGAUGGCUCGUCUUCAGCUUGUCCUUCUUCCUCUUUUGAUGAUGUAA